GAGUUUGAUCGUGGCUCAGGAUGAACGCUGGCGGCGUGCCUAACACAUGCAAGUCGAACGGAGUUUAUGAGGAAGAAGCUUCGGCGGAAUUCUUAUAAACUUAGUGGCGGACGGGUGAGUAACACGUGGAGAACCUGCUCUUACCGGGGGACAGCAGUUGGAAACGACUGAUAAUACCGCAUAAGCGCACGAGACCGCAUGGGUCCUGUGUGAAAAGAUUUUAUCGGGUAAGAGAUGGCCCCGCGUCUGAUUAGCCAGUUGGCGGGGUAACGGCCCACCAAAGCGACGAUCAGUAGCCGGCCUGAGAGGGUGAACGGCCAC
rnacentral:rRNA from 1 species